rnacentral:tmRNA from 1 species
GGGGGCGAUACGGUUUCGACGGGCGGAUGGAGGUCGUCGUUGCAUGCCGGGGUGUCGGACCCCGUAAAAACCGGCAAAAUUGUGAGUGCGAAUAGCACCAACUACGCCCUCGCCGCAUAGUCGGUAGGGCCGUCCGCCCCGGGCUCCUCCCACCGGCCCGGGAACGGGCGCCGUUAAGGCGGGAUGGUCGCGCCGAGUAGUUCCGGCGGCGCGGCGAGAAAAAGGAACCUGGCUCCGGAGAGGAGUUUGCGGGCGGCCCGGCCCCGGAGCGAGAUCAAGGGAAGCCCACGCUAAGCAUGUAGACGCGGCGGCCGAAAACGUUCGGACCCGGGUUCGACUCCCGGCGCCUCCACUA